UAUCAUCUAUUAAUUAAAAUCAUUACAUCAAUAUGUGUUUCUAUAUGCUAUCAGAGUCGAAAAGCUUAACAGCAACAAUCCAGAUUUGAAUCUUCAUCAUGCCUUCAGUCCAUACUAUCAAAAUCAAUGAAACUACAUCAAUAAUAGUUCUCAAUGAUCAAACCUCAAUCAAACUCACUCGCUCCAACUACCAUGCGUGGAAGGUCUAAUUCAAUGCUCUCAUGGUUGAAUAUGACCUUCUAGGAUUUGUUGAUGGAACCAAAAACUGUCAUGCAGAACCUCAUAGUGACUAUACAUACUAGCAACGUCGAGAUCAGUUGAUACACAUGCCAUCAUAUCCUCGGUAGAUCUGAGUAUCAUCAUCAUGCUUGGUAAUGUGAAAACUUCCAAACAAGCAUGGGACAUUCUCACCAAGAUGUUUUCCAUCAAAAUUCACUCUCUCAUCAUGCAUCUCAAAGAACAAUUAUCUUGUUUCACCAAAGGUACACAGUCUGUCUCGGAGUACUUAAAAGCAAUCAAACCCAUGUAUGAUGAACUAGCCGUUAUCAACUCUCUACUGGAUGAUGUUGAUCUAGUCAUUCAUACACUGAACGUACUUGGACCUGAAUUCAAAGAAAAUUUUUGUUGCUCUUCAUACUCGUGAGAAUCCAAUAUAACUCGAUUAUAUCCACGACUUGCUGAUCGAUUAUGAAUGUCACCUCAAAAGAGAUGAAGAUAUAUCUCCUAUAGCUUCUCUCCAUGCAACAUUCAAAGGAAAACCACAUUAUCCAACACAUGGUCACACUCUUAAUCACAACAACUCAUUUCAACAAAAUAGAUCUACUUCUCCUGGAUCUUCCAAGAGAAUCAUUUGUCAAUACUAUGACAAGGUUGGACACACGGAAAAAGGGUGCUACAAACUUCAUGGCUAUCCACCAAAGUACAAUAUUGGCCCAUUAACUCAUUAUACUCGAGCACAUUCAUCUAGAAAUACACCAGAUUGAAUCAUGGAUUCAACAACUACUCAUGAUUUUACAAAUUAACUUGAAAAUCUCCAUCUGCAAAGUCCCUACACUGGAACAGAUCAAGUCAUCAUUGGCGAUGGGUCCAACAAAUGAUCGCAUCUUCGCGCUGCAAGGAUCUCACUUAAGGAUCCAACAAUUGAUCGCCUCUUUAGGCGACAAGGAUCCCGUUUAAUGAUCUAGCGAUUGAUCUCCUCAUUUGGAAAUACUUUCUUAAACUCUUAAGCUUCCUGUAAAGAAAUGGAUAGCCAAACAUACAUAUUUUAACAUAAGUAAAAGUGAAGCACUUCAUUAAAAACCCUCGCCCAUUAUAAGAGCAAAAAAGGGGAAAAAGUAUGUCCAAUAAAGUAACUUGUUCUUUAUAAUUGGCAAAGCUACAACACUGACCCAUAAAAAUAAAACAACCAACAAUAUUAAAAAAAACAAAUGGCGGCUAUGCUGACAUCUUCAGCGGGUAUAUCUCCUGAAUCUUCAUCCUUCCAUCUCUUUAGACGUUAGGUAGGAGGUUUCCUCACCCUUGUGGAAAUCCUUCAGUGGCUUUAUUCCCAAGCCUAUCUUUUAGGACUUCCCGCCUUGAGUGUGGAUUCUCCUCAACUUGAGGCUUUAUACAUAUCAUUUUUUGGCGAUCUCCUUGGAUAAC
rnacentral:lncRNA from 1 species